UUUUGAGUGUACGGUUUGCAUUCAGCAUGUACCUACUGGGAUAUGUGUCCAAUCCUCUGGUGAGAGAAGCCGGUUUGCAAAUAAGAUGAAAGCACUAAACAGAUUGAAAGCUAAACUUGAAGUGAUUGCAAUUGAGCAAGGAGAUUAUAGUAUAAAUAGUAUAGUGAAGAAUAAAAUUUUGAAUAUGUGGGAAGAAGAAACUAGGAGGUAUGUAUCGCAUCCGUACAAGUUAGUACAUGAUGUAAAGACUGGCAUUGAGAUGACAGAUUUAAAUACUGUUUUGGAUGGGAAUAUUGAACCUUUUGUUGCAGCUCAUAUUAAUACCAGAGAGUAAUAAUGUCAUCAUUUUGAAUUGA